UUUGAUCAGCUGAAUCUCUCGAGGACUUCUCUGGUGUCCUGGAGGGGAUUGGGCUUCUGCCGCCGGGAGGAGUAAGGCAUUUGGAUUUGGCUUUCAAAUCUCCUACCUGUUGGCACCAAGGAGGCUGGGAACACGGAGAAGAGGACCACCUACACCAGGACUUUUCCCCUUCUUGACAAGGCUAUCUGUUGGAGGAGAAGGUGUAUAUUUUUUGAACGUGGCUAGUGAUCGAAAUCGUUUUGCUGGACUAGGCAGAUCUGUCAUGAAGAUUUGAGGAGCAGGCUUGUGUGGGGUCACUACGACCACGGCGCAUCUCGGCCGAGUCGACACCAAGAAAGCACUGUGGCCGCUAUAGGAGAGGGUAUCCAGUAGAAACUUACCAAAUGCUGAGUAACUGAAGCUGAAUGUGGAAAGGAAUUCUGUUUUAACUCAAAGGAACGGCAACUAGCAGAUCAAUCUGGGAGUCUUUAGAUUUUUAUGCAAAGUGAUAUGAUCUUGGAAGAGGUCUGAUCAGUGCCCUCCUGGUCUGCACUCUGUGCCUUACCCAGGGAAAGUCAAUCUCUACAGGCAUGGAAUUAAAAGAUAUUUGCUCCUUGGAAGGAAAGCUAUGGCAAAUCUGGACAGCAGACUAAAAAGCAGAGAUAUCACCUUGCCAACAAAGGUCCAAACAAAGGUCAAAGGAAAGAUGAAGACAGUUCUCCAGAUCUUCCCCGUGCUGCUGCUGCUCCUGGGCAUAGGGUUGGGACAUUGGUUGGCUCCAGCAACCCUAGAGGACAGUCAGGAGCUACUGGAUCAGCUUUGGGACAGUGACUCAAGGGAGGAGGCAGCUGAAAAUACGGAUGUCACCAAAGCCAUGGAACCCCAGGAGGCUGGAGAGAAUGACAUGCUGUUGUUGGAUUCCAUGGAGUCAUCAUCAGCAGGGGCCUUUCUUAGAGAAGAUGAAGUUAUGGGUCAGGAGGAAGCAGUGGCUGAGGAGCUCUCCCAUGAGGAGGAUGAGGCAGGUCCAGUUUAAAAGGGACUGCAAUGUCAUGAUGGCCCAGAAAGCCUGGAAGCUCAAGAGCAUCUAUAAGGUGAAGCAUACCUUUAUCCAUGAAAACCUAGACAAAGUCAAAGUUAUCUGUAGCAC